rnacentral:misc_RNA from 1 species
GAUGAAGAACGUAGCGAAAUGCGAUAAGUAAUGUGAAUUGCAGAAUUCAGUGAAUCAUCGAAUCUUUGAACGCACAUUGCGCCCCUUGGUAUUCCGAGGGGCAUGCCUGUUCGAGCGUCAUAUUAACCACUCCCGCUUGCGGGGUCUUGGGCUUCGCCUCCGGGCGGGCCUUAAAAUCAGUGGCGGUGCCGUCGGUCUCUACGCGUAGUAAAUUUUCUCGCGAUAGGGUCCCGGUGGAUGCUUGCCAACAACCCCCAACUUCUUAAGGUUGACCUCGGAUCAGGUAGGGAUACCCGCUGAACUUAAGCAUAUCAAUAAGCGGAGGA